rnacentral:lncRNA from 1 species
UGUGGGCAAAGUUGCAGAAUGGUAUCAGCCAUACACCUUAUGUUUUUCUCCGACAGGUCGAAUUUCCCAUAAGACUGCAUAAGCAAAAGAUUGGUCUUUUUUUUUGUUGGUUUAGCUUUUUAGAAAUUCACUAUACAAUUUAUUGACAUACUUAUGGCACUUUCCAUUUUUAGUAUUAGUAAAGUUUUGCAUUCAACUAAGCAAAAGAUAGUUUCAGAAACUAUGCUUUUGUAUUAAACUGAAAGCAUCUUUACAUGUCUUAUGAUUUUAGUGGGCUAUGUGUCAUUUUAGUGUUCUGCUAGUAUUUAUAAUUGUUUCGAGAAGUAAUUUAAUGCAAGAAGUUAUUUAAAUUUUUCUGAUUUCAUUCUCUUUAUUUGGUGUAGAUUCUGAGUAAAAUAUAGAAUGAUUAGGAAGUUGGAUUCUCUUGACGUCUAAUUCAUUGUUUUGAUAGGAAUUCUCUGGAGUAUCUAAACAGGCUAUCUCAACAGGUUGAAUCCACAGUUAUGGAGAAGUGCUUUCGAUCCAUCACUGAUCCAAGAAGUGGCAUUAACUUGAUUCAUAAUGUUGUAUACAAAUGUGGGUUAGCUUUGGCUAAGCUUUUCCUUUUAGAAAACAUGUUUACCAAUGUGUUAGUAGGAAGUGCUCAGUUUAUAGAAUAGUUCUUUUGGAUAUUUAAUAAGCUUUUAUAAAUCGUACUUUUUUUUAUUGUAGAUCUAAUAUCCAUCUGCUAAAACACUCUGCCUUAUUAAGAUUUUCUUUGUUUUUUACUGUUAUUAUUAUGCUCAAGUUUUUCUCUAUGUCACUAUGCUUAAGUUUUUUUUAGGGUGGUUUUCGUAUUCAUAAGUUAAGAAUUUUUAAUAAUUAUGAUGUUCAUCCUCAUGUGUUGUUUGUGGAUUUAGUCUUUCUUAUCUACUUUGAUUAUUACUUAAUUAUCUUUGUUAUCUUUAUUUGCUUUUCAAAAUUGGUUUUGGUAAUUUAUUUUGCUUUAGGAAUUCAAGUGGCUUCCAAUUUAGUUAUCGAGAAUUAUUUUUUCUUUCACCCCUUUUGAUUGCUUUUUUGAUGUUUAUAUGAAUGUAGGUAAGAUCUACUACUCUGGACUCAUGGCUACCGAACAAGGACGCAUUUAUUCAAUGUAUUUAUUUGACCUUUGAACUUGAUAAUUUGCUCUAAGAAAUAUCAAUUACUCAAAAGAUCUUUGUGUCAUUAUCUGUCACUUCUUUUUAUCACGUCUAAAGUAACUUCUCUUCAUUGUUUGCUAGAUGCAGAGUGCUUUGCUACUAUUGAUUUUUGUACUACUGAAGUCGUAUAUUUUUG